rnacentral:rRNA from 1 species
CAAUCCAGGUCGGUUUCUAUCUAUGUCGCUUUCUUCUUCAGUACGAAAGGACAAAGAAGAAGGGGCCCCUGUUAUAAGCACACCCCAUAAUUCUAGCUGAACAAAACUAAAGUUAAGCCAGCCCACACCAACCAGAGACAAUGGUUUU